rnacentral:misc_RNA from 1 species
AACAAAAAUUCAACAUGGGGGCAAUGUUCUCAAACCCCCACAGGGAGACGGGUGUCCUGAGCGAGAAUAUGGGGGGAGGGCCAAUGGGACUUGGUGACCCUGAAGAUCAGUCACUGCGGAAAGCUGAGAGAGAAAUUGUCAUCCCCCAGAAGAUGAAGGCCAAGGCAAAGAAGGGGCAGUGUGCUGAACAAGUCAAAGAGUUUGGAAUCUGUGCCAAGGAAGCAGGUCUGCUGCUGCCGUUCAAAUGCAGAAAACAAGCCAAAGAAAUGCACAUCUGUCUGACAGCAGCAUAUGCAGAUCAGGCUUUCAUUGACGAGUGUACGGCGGAGUAUCUGAAGGAGAGGUCGGAGUACCGCCGAACUGGAGUCAAACAGAAGAUGAAGAAGUCAGAGGGAGUCAUGAUUUAAGCCAGUGAAUUGCAGAAUCAAAGUGAAUAUCUCAAACUUUGAAAGAAGAUAGAUAAACCUGAAGAAUGAAAUCAACCGUGGUCUGAUCAUUGUGUUUGGAAGUUCUGCAAACUUCUUGUUAGGGGAAAUUAAGAUUUCGCCCAGAGGACUUAUUUUUCAGGGUGUUUAUAAAUCUAAAGGGAGGUAGUGCUUCUUGCAUGGUGCUUCCUAUGGCUGUGUGUGAAGCCAGUGAUGCAGCAGUCCUAAUAGUGGUAACACCUUAAAGUAACACUGUCACCAUGACAUUAGAAGACUGGAUCCAGCACCCCCCUCCCCCUUUUGUUGACGCACGCUAAGCAUUAGAUCACUUGGUAGACAAGUUAUUACCAUAUUACAGAACUACAGGUAAAUCAUUACCGUAUUACAGAACUACAGGUAAAUCAUUACCGUAUUACAGAACUAGAGGUAAAUCAUUACCCAAUUACAGAACUACAGGUAAAUCAUUACCCAAUUACAGAACUACAGGUAAAUCAUUACCGUAUUACAGAACUACAGGUAAAUCAUUACCGUAUUACAGAACUACAGGUAAAUCAUUACCCAAUUACAGAACUACAGGUAAAUCAUUACCCAAUUACAGAACUACAGGUAAAUCAUUACCCAAUUACAGAACUACAGGUAAAUCAUUACCGUAUUACAGAACUACAGGCAAAUCAUUACCGUAUUACAGAACUACAGGUAAAUCAUUACCCAAUUACAGAACUACAGGUAAAUCAUUACCCAAUUACAGAACUACAGGUAAAUCAUUACCGUAUUACAGAACUACAGGUACAUCAUGACCGUAUUACAGAACUACAGGUAAAUCCUGACCAUAUUACAAACCUACAGGUAAAUCAUUGCUGAUAUAUAAAUCUUUGAACAUAACAGGACAACCAGACACCUUUUUGUGAGCUAUUGGCAUUCAUUUUGCAUCACUACCCUGUUUUUUGUUAGCAUGGCAAGCAUGAAAUAUUCACAAAUGGUAGAAGCGGCUCUUGACAAUGAAUUCUUAUAAGAGAAUCUGUGUAAAUAGACCAAAUUAUCAUGUAUACAAGUUGUGGAGAAUGAAUGUGUGAGUAAGAAAAUUAAGACUGUUACCAUGGUUACUGUUGUAUCCCUAAUUCUAAUAUAAAGCGCUUUUCUAUCAGUUUUGCUGAUAGUGAGCUAAGUGAUAGAGAGAGUGAGCUAUGUUGCAGUGCACUUAGAUGAGAAUGUAUCUUGAAAAGAGAUGUGUUGGUGGUACAGCACUAGGGUCAUGAUGUGGAGUGGGUCUGAUGCUGCGACUAUCGUUCAACAGAUGGGAAGGGUUUGUUUUGUAAGAGCAUUUAUAAGUGAUUUGUAAUUGUGACUGUGUUGCAAAUGUAUUAUGAUAAGAGAAUGUUUAUUUGAAAUAAAAUAUCAAGGAAAUC